rnacentral:rRNA from 1 species
AUGUUGCGCAACAAGUAUCUAGGCCAAAAGGCGGUGUCCCGGGCAUAUUGGAAACCUGGUGACCCGCACUUCUGGGCUGGCCUAAUUGCGGCAAAGAAAUAUCUCUUUCGCUUUGGGUCUUUCGUGAUAAAAGACGGGUCAGAGAUUCGAUUCUGGGAAGACAUCUGGCUAGGCAAUGCCAGUCUCAGAGAACAAUAUCCAGCCUUAUAUUACAUUGCUCGCGAAAAGAACAACACUAUUGCGCACGUGCUCAGUUCAUCCCCGCCGAACAUUUCGUUUAGGCGGGAUUUGAUUGGCCCCAGACUUCUGUCAUGGCAUAAUCUUUUGUCCCGGUUGGAUUCGAUUAACCUAACACAAGGUCGGGAUGUGUUUCGCUGGAACCUUACUACAUCAGGGUCUUUUACAGUAGACUCUAUGUACCGUGCGCUCACACAUUCUGAGGUACCAGUGAGUAAUAACAAGAAAAUUUGGAAGUCCAAGAUUCAACUAAAAGUGAAAAUUUUCAUGUGGUAUCUUCGUAAGGGAGUUGUGUUGACCAAAGACAACCUCGCACGACGCAACUGGCUAGGGAGUAAGAAGUGUUGUUUUUGUACUCAUGACGAGACAAUCAAACACCUCUUUUUCCAAUGCAAGUUUGCACGUUCUACGUGGUCAAUCAUCCAAAUAGUGUCAAAUUUAUAUCCGCCCACAAGUGUUGCCAAUAUAUUUGGUCACUGGUUGGACGGUAUUCCAAAUAGGUUUAAAGCGCUUAUAAGGGUGGGAGCGUACGCCUUAAUUUGGUCGCUCUGGCUAUGUAGAAACGAUUUGGUUUUUAAUGGAAAAAAUGCUUCUCCUCUGCAGGUUAUUUUCCGUUAUACGCAAUCGCUUCAUACGUGGUCUAUGCUACAACGAUCGGAGCGCCAAUCGCUGUUCAAGGCGGUGUGUACGCAGUUGAAGCAGGUAGCUACGGAGGUUUUUUCCCAACAUGGGUGGUAG